rnacentral:rRNA from 1 species
GAUGAACGCUAGCGGCAGGCCUAACACAUGCAAGUCGAGGGGUAGAAGUUUUCGGACUUUGAGACCGGCGCACGGGUGCGUAACGCGUAUGCAAUCUGCCUUGUACUGGGGGAUAGCCCAGAGAAAUUUGGAUUAAUACCCCAUAGUAUUUUCGGUUGGCAUCAACUGAUUAUUAAAGUUUUUCGGUACAAGAUGAGCAUGCGUCCCAUUAGCUAGUUGGUAUGGUAACGGCAUACCAAGGCUACGAUGGGUAGGGGUCCUGAGAGGGAGAUCGCCCACACGGGUACUGAGACACGGACCAGACUCCUACGGGAGGCAGCAGUGAGGAAUAUUGGUCAAUGGUCGCAAGACUGAACCAGCCAUGCCGCGUGCAGGAUGAAGCAUCUAUGGUGUGUAAACUGCUUUUGUACGGGAAGAAACACUGCUACGUGUAGCAGCUUGACGGUACCGUAAGAAUAAGGAUCGGCUAACUCCGUGCCAGCAGCCGCCGUAAAAC